CUGACUGCUGUCGACAGACAUCCAGGAAUCAAAGUUAAUGGAAGUGAGAGGGGGUAAUGUGGACUGUCAUUGUGUCCUCAGCAGUUUUAAAGGCAUUACCUCGUCGGGUGGCUCUCGGUGCUCUGCAGGGGAUGGCGUGCUGGAAGAGAAACGAAAAAAAAAAAAAAACAAUGCCAACUGCAACUUGACGGCAAUGAAAGAAAUCAUCUCAGCGACAGCACUAUACUCUAGUGGCACUAUUUAAUUAGGUCACUGGCAAAUAGAAAUUGCUCGUUUCUCACUGGUCAGCAGGUGUCAAUUGUUUCCUUAUAUCUCAAGAGAAGCGAAAGUGUAAUCACAGGUAAAUAUCAGUGCAGCAAUAUGAAAGCAUGUUACAAUGACACAGAGUGUUGAUUAGUUAGGCGAGUCCUGCAUUUACGACUUGUGCUUGCUCUUGUGUUAAUAUACCGAUCCGCCAUAACAUAAACACCAUUGACAGGUGACGUGAAUAACAUUUAUUAUCUUGUUAAAAUGGCACCUCUCAAGGGGUGGGAUAUAUUAGGGGCAAGUGAACAGUCAGUUCUCAAAGUUGAUGUAUUGGAAGCAGGAAAAAUGGGCAAGCGUAAGGAUCUGAGCGACUUUGACAAGGGCCAAAUUGUGAUUGCUAGACGACGGGGUCAGAGUAUGUCCAAAAUGGCAUGUCUUG
ensembl:lncRNA